UACGUAGGGUGCAAGCGUUGUCCGGAAUUAUUGGGCGUAAAGAGCUCGUAGGCGGUUUGUCGCGUCUGCUGUGAAAACGCGAGGCUCAACCUCGCGCCUGCAGUGGGUACGGGCAGACUAGAGUGCGGUAGGGGAGAUUGGAAUUCCUGGUGUAGCGGUGGAAUGCGCAGAUAUCAGGAGGAACACCGGUGGCGAAGGCAGGUCUCUGGGCCGAUACUGACGCUGGAGGAGCGAAAGCGUGGGGAGCAAACAGG
rnacentral:rRNA from 1 species